GAUAAGGCUUGUAUCUUCUUUGAUAGCUAGAUGUGACUACCGGUGAUUUCGAAUUCUAUAUUCUCUAUAGAGGUCCGGUUGAAUAAUCCGGCAAGGCGAGCUCAAGACGAGAAAGUAAAGAAUGAGAAUGUUUCAACUAUUGUGUGUCACGACAACUCUACACUUAGUAAGGAAGAGUCUUUAAUUUGUG